rnacentral:rRNA from 1 species
UACGUAGGGUGCGAGCGUUAAUCGGAAUUACUGGGCGUAAAGCGUGCGCAGGCGGUUUUGUAAGUCUGACGUGAAAGCCCCGGGCUUAACCUGGGAAUUGCGUUGGAGACUGCAAGGCUUGAAUCUGGCAGAGGGGGGUAGAAUUCCACGGUGUAGCAGGUGAAAUGCGUAGAGAUGUGGAGGAACACCGAUGGCGAAGGCAGCCCCCUGGGUCAAGAUUGACGCUCAUGCACGAAAGCGUGGGGAGCAAACAGG